GUGUCCUUUUUAAGAAGCCGGCUUCAGGUGUGAGUGAGCACUUGUCAGGAUGGACAGCAGGGGGAGCUCCCGCCCCAUCAGCCUUCCACCUGCUGGUUGACCUGUCGUCUCUGGGAAUUCAUCGUGGAGCAAACAGGGUCGUUUUGUCUUGUUGUGUGUUUGUUUAACUUCAUUGGAAUAUAGUUGAUUGACCAUGCUGUGUUAGCUUCAGCUGUACAGCAGAGCGAUCGAAUGACACAUAUAUACACCCGCAUCCACUCUUUUUCAGCUUCUUUUCCGUGAUGGUUGAUCACAGGAUAUGGAAUAGAGGUCCCUGUACCGGACAGAAGGACUUUGUUGCUGAUCCCUCCUCUAUGUACGAGUUUGCAUCUACGAACCCCGAACUCCCUGUCCACCCCUCCCCUGUCCCCCUCCCUCUUGACAACCACAAGUCUGUUCUCCGUGUCUGUGAGUCUGUGUCUGUUCUGUAGACUGGCUCAUUUGGGCCACCCCCCCCAUAUUUAUAACGGCCACACGUGCGGCAUAUGGAAGUUCCCAGAGCCAGGGGUCAAAUGGGCGCUGCAGCUGCCAGCCUGCGCCACAACCACAGCAAUGCCCUACCUGAGCCACUGGCAGCAUCGCCAGAUCCUUAAUCCCCUGAGCCAGGCCAGGGACUGAACCCUCAUUCUCCUGGAUACGAUGUCAGGUUCUUCACCUGCUCAGCUGCAAUGGGAACUCCCCAUUCGUGCCAUAUUUUAGAUUCCACAUGGAAGAGAUGGCAUGUGGUUUUAGUCUUUCUCUUUCUGACUUACUUCACUUAGUGUAAUCGUCUCUAGGUCCAUCCAUGUUGCUGCGCAUGACAUGACUGCCUUCUUAUUUAUGGCUGUGUAAUAUUCCCUUUUAAGUAUUAGACAAGUUUUUGGAAACAAUGUUGCCUUGAUGAGACCUACCGUGUUGGCAGCCUCCUGGCCCCUUUAAAAUGUCUAUGCUGAGAUGUCACCGCCCGCAUUUGUCAGGAUGACGCGUCCCAGGGUUUGCAGCCCUUGUCUUUUCAUUACCUUAAUCUUAGAUUUUUGUGCGUGACAAUUUCCAGAGAAUCUGUUAGCUGCCAUUGAGAACUGGGCCAUGGAAGCAGGACGUGGAGGGCCAGUGAGGCAGGGAGAUGGGGUCAGCUCCUUGCUUCAUUGUACUGAUGAUGUUGCCCAUCUGUCAUUUGUAACGGGGCAUGGCUGCUGGUUCCCAGGACCCCUCCUGUCCCCCCGCCAGCCCCCUGUGCUAUGAUGCUUAGAUUUCCCACCCCUGCAUGUGAUGUCUGGGGUACGUCCUGCCCAGCGGGAUCGACUCGGGGAUGUGUCGCGAUUCCACAGCGUGGGCGGUGGGGCUGGAAGGUGGUCGUCCCUGUACACAGAACAGGUGGCCUCUGGGGGCCCCCAGUGGGAGGAGCCCCAAGGGCUCUUCCAGCGAUGGUGAUGGUGCCACGUAAAGCAUCUUGGCAUCAUACACAAGGGGGCAGAGUCCAAAACCCAGAGAGAGGCACUGCCAGACGGCCAGGGGUCCCUGGCUCUCAGGAGGGAAUUGGGCAGAGGCAGCCCCUCCAGCCUUCAUUAUGGGCUGUACAUCCUGGGGCCUCCUGGUGCCCUUGCAGGUGGAAUUGAAUGUCAAGCGGAUGCUGUUAGGGAAGAAAGAUGCCUGGUAGAGGCGCCUGGGGGGCUCUCGCUUGGCAGGAUUUCCGGGUGGUAAUUGGCUCCCCGGCUAUUCAUGUUUGACUUACGAUUUCUAAUCAUCUUCCCACUGUCUCGUGUGGCGACUGGACCAGCGUAUGAGCAGAUGUGUUCUUUCUUGGGUUACAUAGUAUCUGUUUCGAGUCGAGGGAGGUGCGCCUGUCUGCUUCUACCUCCGUGUCCGUAUUUAUGACCAUGCCUGAGAGCCUACACCCUUGUGUGUCCGUGACGGUGGGACGCUCUCUGUGUCUUUCAUCCCACCUGGAGGUCUCUCUCUGUACCAUCUGAAGGCUGUGUCUGGGCUCUGUCAAUAAGUGUAGCCAACCUGUGCGUCUAAGCACAGAUUGAGAUGUAUCAUGUCAGGCAGCACUUUUCUCCUCAGAAUUAUAGAAUUCCUCGUAAUACUAAUAAUACUACCGUUUGACAAAGGGCCGACAGGCACAUCAGUCUCGGUCAGGCUGGCAGUCUCUCUGGGCGGGGCACCCUCCUACGUGCUGUCCAUACUGUGUGAUGCUCGUUCUUUUCUUCUUUUAAAUGUAAUUUUAGUUGUAUUAUAGUUACUGUACAGAGCUGUGGCCAUUUCUCCUGGACAGCAUUGUGACCCAGACACACACAUACACACGCACACAGAGGCAUUCUUUUUCUUAUGCUAUUUUCCAUCCUGGUCUAUCCCAAGAGACUGGACAGAAUUCCUUGUGCUGGACAGCAGGACCUCAUGGCUUCUCCACUCUCAAUGUCCUAGUUUGCAUCUACGGACCCCAAGCUCUCCACGAUAUGAAUUAUUUUCACACACCGCCCCCCACCCUCCCCAGCAGGCGUCCUUACCUUGGUGUUACAGAUCGGGAAACCGAGGCACGAAGCCUCAUUCACCUGCUGAUGUGGGCAUUCCAGCCGAGCUUUGAUAAGCGUGGGGGUGUUGGUGGUGGGGUCUGGGGUGUCCUGUGACCGCCAGAAGCCACCCAAUUUCUCUGUGGAAGAAGUCGAUCAGGAGCAAUGUCACCAUUCUUUGUUUUUCCAAAUCAAGGCAGCCAGGGCUCUGGGGCCGCGUUUGAGCUUAGCUACAAGGGGAUCACGGACACUUUGUAGGGGGCAUCAUAGGGUCCUGGGGCAAGAUGGAGAACGCCAUUUUUUAAUUUAAAGUCUCUGGGCCCCCAAGCAGGAUGUCGAAUAUAUAUGGGAAGGAGAUAAAAGGAUGUGGAAAGAGGGAUUCAGCCUCCUGGUGAGUCCAGUAUCUGGUUUGCAUGGGGCUGAUAGAGCAUCUGGUUGCCCCAGGGCUGGUCCAGCAUCUGGUUUCCAUGGUGUUGGUCUAGCAUCCGGUUUCCAUGGAAUUGAUACAGCAUCUGGUUUCCACAGGGCUGGUCCAGCUUCUGGUUUCCAUGGUGUUGGUCCAGCAUAUGGUUUCCAUGGGGCUGGUCCAGCAUCUGGUUUCCAUGGGGCUGAUACAGCAUCUGGUUUCCAUGGUGUUGGUCUAGCAUCCGGUUUCCAUGGAAUUGAUACAGCAUCUGGUUUCCACAGGGCUGGUCCAGCAUCCGGUUUCCAUGGUGUUAGUCCAGCAUCCGGUUGCCAUGGAGUUGGUCCAGCAUCUGGUUUCCACAGGGCUGGUCCAGCAUCCGGUUUCCAUGGGGUUCAUACAGCAUCAGAGGCCUGGCUCGUGAGGAGUGAACCAUUUAACCCUGGGGGACAUUUUGGCCUUCACGUGGAAAGCACUAGUAGAAACGCUGUGUUUAAAACAUGGUUUUCCAGGAAGGAGUAGACAUCAGUGCCCCCCUAGAGAGAGCAUAAAUGAUGUGUGAACAUGAAGCUCCCCCCCCACCGCCCCACUGUCAAGCUCAGAAAAUCAGGUCCGCCCAGCUGAUUUCCUGGGAGGAAGCUGAGCCCCCCACUGCUUCCGGGUGAGGUGGGUGAGAAGGGAAAGCCCUGGAGCACGUGGCCUUAGUGGGGACAAGACACAUUUCCAGCAGGGAAAUUGUCUGGUGUGGCUGAGGUCCUGGUCGAGAGGGUGGAGAGAAUUUGGAAGUGGGGAGGGAAGAAAAAAGAGCCUCAGAAGGGGCAGAUGGCAGAGCCAAGAAUGUGGGAGCAGGCGCCCAGUGGCCCACCCCAGCUGCCCUCUGCCCGGCCCGCUGCAGCUCAUGGGGCCAGGACAUGGGUGGGGGUGGGGGAGGUCAAGGCUAUAGCAUAGGCAUUGGAUGAAUUUCAGCUUCUUGAUGCAAAAAUCUACACGCCCACUUCAGAAGGGCAUGGUUUUUAUUUUCUUUAUAAUUUAAAACAAAAAUUGAGAAUUAUCAGUAAGACUUAGGAAAAUGAUAACGCAGAAAAAAAUGCCCUUCUUGGUAAUAACCACCAGUUACAGUUGGUGUAUUUCUUUGCUGGGCACCAAACAUUUUUUUUCUCUUUCGAGCCGCAGCUGCAGCAUGUGGAAGUUCCCAAGAUAGGGGUCGAAUUGGAGCUGCAGCUGCAGGCCUUCACCGCAGCCACAGCCAUGUGCGAUCUGAGCCACAUCUGUGACCUAUGCCACAGCUUGCAGCAACACUGAGUCCUUUACCCAAGCAAAGCCAGGGGUCAAACCUGCAUCCUCACAGACACUGUGUCGGGUUCUUAACUCACUGAGCCGUAACAGGAACUCCUUGGACACCAAAUUUCUAAAAAGUAGAAUGAUCAUGUUUAUUUAUUAUUUUGUUAGCAACUUUCACCCACAUUCUGAAAAUUUCCUUAACCUUGUGAAAAAAAUUUUUUUUUUUUUUUGCCGCAUCUGCAGCAUGUGGAAAUUCCUAGGCUAGGGAUUGAACCCACGCCGGAGCAGGCACCUGAGCCACUUCAGUGACAACACUAGAUCCUUAACCCAUGGAGCCACCAGGGAACUCCCAACCUUGUGAUUUUUAUUGGCUGCCUUAAGAGCUUGAAUUAUUUCUCUUUGGGUGGGACGUUUAGGUUAUUUCUGACUUUUUUCUCUCAAAAUGACCCUCAGUCAUGGAUUCAUUCAGUAAACAGGUUACACAGCAGAUCCCAGGCUGGCCCCUGGAGGGAGGAUGUGGGAAUCUCGAGUGUGGUCUCUGGGAAUGAUGCAGAGGUUAGACCUUUUGCCCCACAGGCAGGGGACACGUCCCACAGGCUGUGCUGGUCCCGGAAAACCAGCAACAGUGAAACCGGUUUCAUCCAUAUGGGGUAGAGGCGUUACUCUAACCUCCCGAUUUCCUGCUCCAGUCUGAUGGUUCCAGGGCCUUUUGAGAUUCACCCACUGGACUCAGCGGGUUAAGAAUCUGACAGAGUGUCCGUGAGGAUGCGGGUUCCAGUCCUGGCCUCGGUCUGUGGGUGAAGGAUCCAGCGUUGUUGUGAGCUGUGGCGUAGGUCACAGAUGCAGCUCAGAUCCCGCGCUGCUGUGGCUGUGGUGUCGGCUGGCACCUGUAGCUCCUAUUUGACCCCUAGCUUGGGAACUUCCAUAUGCUGCAGGUGCAGCGGUGAAAAGGAAAAAGAAAAGAGAGAUCCAUGUAUGCGGACAAGCUUGCGCCUAGGAAGGCGGUGCCCAUCAAGUCAAGGGGACCAUGUUGUGGCAUCGUCUGUGUCGCCCCUAUGAUACACAAAGAAGAACAAAACAGCCUGUAUUUCCUCCAUCACUAGCCAGGUUGGCUUUUUGUGGGAUGACUGGCUCCCACAGAUUUUUUUUUUCCUUAGAUGAAUUCCCGAGUUCCUCUCCACUUUGGUUCUGUUGGAUGAGUUAGCAGCUUUCAGUGAAUUCUUUUUCUCAUAAAAAGAAUCAACUCUGGGAGUUCCCUGGUGGCUCAGUGGGGUUAAGGAUCCAGCAUUGUCACUGCUGUGGCUCAGGUCACUGCCAUGGCUCGGGGUCAGUCCCUGGCCCCAGGAAAUUUCCUGUGAUGUGGGUGUGGACCAAAAAAGAAUUAUCAUCGACUCUGCCCUAUUUCCUUAAUCCUUUGGGGUUUAUCGCGUUUCGUUAGUUAGUUCAUGCUUUUGGAACCGAAAGGUCCCAGGUGAUCUGUGGUUGAUGAACGUGAGGCCACUUACUCCCAGACCUUUGGGAAACUGGGAGUAUUUGUAAAAAUAACAGGACUCAGAUCUGUUCUACCUGGAAGACGCUCCCUGUUUGGGGAGACCCCUCAUCACUCCCCAUGGCUGGUUAGUGCCCCGCUGGGCGUCCAGGUUCAGCCUUGCUUCCGCAGGGCCCCCUCCCCCACGAGGCCUGAGUACGGCUACCUGCCUGGUCCCCAUGUCACUGCCCCCUGCUCCGUCUCCAUCCUUUAGGCCCUGGCCACCCUCGUGUAGCCUCCCUGGACCUUCCCCCCCAGCGAGUGGACGGGGCUGCAGCACGAGGAAAACACAGCUCUGGACCCUGGUGGCCUGGCCCCUGCUGAGACUCGCCUUUCCCAGGUGCUUUUGCCAGGUGUGUUUUCCCCAGGCGCCGUGUUGCCCAGGCGCCUUUUCAGGCAAGAGAACACCCACCCACCCCACCCCAGGCUGCCUGCCUCUAAGGCUGCUGCCCUCAGUUCUCUAAAACCCUCUGACAGGUGCUUCCGAGUUGUGCCAGGAGGUGAGUGGCUGGCGAUGACAGCCCGGUCCCCAGGGCCGCCUGAACAUACAGUCUCCAUUUGCAAGAGAGGAGUCUCGCGGAAAGAACACUAGUUAGUGGCUUCCAGCAGCACUUUGAAGCCAGUCCCUGUGGACAGCGUGAACCCGUCAGGAAAGGAGAAAUGACUCAGCAGAGCGUGACAUGCCCUCCGCGCAGGGCCAAGGGCUCUGUGUCCCCGAGGCGCGUUAUCUCCGUGAGGAGGGUGCGUUUGAAGGGGAACGUGUGUCACAGUCUCUGGGCAGAGCCUGCUGUGCCUUUGCCUUUGUACCCAGAGCCGGUGUGCCUGCUUUGCCCGUUUCCACCCCUUUUGUCAUGUGCCACUUCAUUUUUGUCAUUUCCCACUUUUAACUGGAUGGCAAAGUGAGCCAUCCGACGCUGCUGCGCUUGCUCGGCGGCUGCACUUAGAAAGGCAUUCCUUUAUGAAGUUACAUAUGUGGGUUCUUACCUCUUUUUUUAGUACUUUUUUUUUUUUAUCGUUUGCACUUAAAAAUGUGUGGGAUGAACAGUGUGGGAUUGACGGGGGGAAGGGACCCUUGGAAUUUGUUUCUUUGAGCUACAGAAAUGGCCUGUUUGAAAAACAGAGUUCCCGUUGUGGCUCAGCAGGUUAAGAAUACGACGUAGUGUCCAUGAGGAUGCUGGGUCCAUCCCCGGCCUCACUCAGUGAGUUAAGGAUCCGGCGUUGCUGUGAGCUGUGGUGUCAGCUGCAGACGCAGCUCAGAUCUGGUGUUGCUGUGGCUGUGAUGUAGGCUGGCCGCAGCUCUGAUUCAACCCCUAGCCUGGGAGCUUCCUAUGCUGCAGGUGUAGCCCUAAAAA
rnacentral:lncRNA from 1 species